GCGAGCUUGGCGGAAUGGUAGACGCACGAGACUUAAAAUCUUGCGCCCGUUACAGGGCGUGCGGGUUCGAGUCCCGCAGCUCGCA
rnacentral:tRNA from 4 species